AUUGAACGCUGGCGGCAUGCCUUACACAUGCAAGUCGAACGGUAACAGGUCUUCGGAUGCUGACGAGUGGCGAACGGGUGAGUAAUACAUCGGAACGUGCCCGAGAGUGGGGGAUAACGAGGCGAAAGCUUUGCUAAUACCGCAUACGAUCUCAGGAUGAAAGCAGGGGACCGCAAGGCCUUGCGCUCACGGAGCGGCCGAUGGCAGAUUAGGUAGGUGGUGGGAUAAAAGCUUACCAAGCCGACGAUCUGCAGCUGGUCUGAGAGGACGACCAGCCACACUGGGACUGAGACACGGCCCAGACUCCUACGGGAGGCAGCAGUGGGGAAUUUUGGACAAUGGGGGCAACCCUGAUCCAGCAAUGCCGCGUGCAAGAAGAAGGCCUUCGGGUUGUAAACUGCUUUUGUACGGAACGAAACGGUCUGGGUUAAUACCCUGGGCUAAUGACGGUACCGUAAGAAUAAGCACCGGCUAACUACGUGCCAGCCGCCGCCGUAACAC
rnacentral:rRNA from 1 species